GACGAACGCUGGCGGCGUGCUUAACACAUGCAAGUCGAACGGAAAGGCCUUUUCGGCGGUACUCGAGUGGCGAACGGGUGAGUAACACGUGGGUGAUCUGCCCUGCACUCUGGGAUAAGCCUGGGAAACUGGGUCUAAUACCGGAUAGGACCGCACUUUAGUGUGUGUGGUGGAAAGUUUUUUCGGUGUAGGAUGAGCCCGCGGCCUAUCAGCUUGUUGGUGGGGUAAUGGCCUACCAAGGCGGCGACGGGUAGCCGGACUGAGAGGUUGGUCGGCCACAUUGGGACUGAGAUACGGCCCAGACUCCUACGGGAGGCGGCAGUGGGGAAUAUUGCACAAUGGGCGCAAGCCUGAUGCAGCGACGCCGCGUGGGGGAUGACGGCCUUCGGGUUGUAAACUCCUUUCGCCAGGGACGAAGCGUUUUGUGACGGUACCUGGAGAAGAAGCACCGGCUAACUACGUG
rnacentral:rRNA from 1 species